GGAAUAUUGGACAAUGGGGGCAACCCUGAUCCAGCAAUGCCGCGUGAGUGAUGAAGGCCUUAGGGUUGUAAAGCUCUUUUACCGGGGACGAUGAUGACGGUACCCGGAGAAUAAGCCCCGGCUAACUUCGUGCCAGCAGCCGCGGUAAUACGAAGGGGGCGAGCGUUGUUCGGAGUUACUGGGCGUAAAGGGCGCGUAGGCGGCGCUCCAAGUUAGGCGUGAAAGCCCCGGGCUCAACCUGGGAAUAGCGCUUAAGACUGGAGUGCUUGAGUGCGGGAGAGGUGAGUGGAAUUCCCAGUGUAGAGGUGAAAUUCGUAGAUAUUGGGAAGAACACCAGUGGCGAAGGCGGCUCACUGGCCCGCAACUGACGCUGAGGCGCGAAAGCGUGGGGAGCAAACAGGAUUAGAUACCCUGGUAGUCCACGCCGUAAACGAUGAGUGCUAGACGUUGGGGGACUCGGUCCCUUGGUGUCGCAGCUAACGCAUGAAGCACUCCGCCUGGGGAGUACGGCCGCAAGGUUAAAACUCAAAGGAAUUGACGG
rnacentral:rRNA from 1 species